UGAGUCAGAAACCGUUGAUGUAGGCGAAGGACAUGCGAAAGGUCCGGCGUAGAGGGUAAGACCCCCGUAGCUGAAACAUUAGCGGCUCGCUUGAGAACCACCCAAGUAGCACGGGGCCCGUGAAAUCCCGUGUGAAUCUGGCGGGACCACCCGUUAAGCCUAAAUAUUCCCUGGUGACCGAUAGCGGAUAGUACCGUGAGGGAAUGGUGAAAAGUACCGCGGGAGCGGAGUGAAAUAGUACCUGAAACCGUGUGCCUACAAGCCGUGGGAGCGUCGC
rnacentral:rRNA from 1 species